AGUCGAGGGUUCUACGUGCACGGUAAAAAGAACUCUCCAGAAUUAAGCAUUCCGAGAAGUUGGACAGUUUUAUUAAUGUUGUCCUAUUGUGCGUAUCUCUUUCGUUGCUACUCGAGUAAAUGUUAAUUCUUUGGUCUUUCUAAAAUCAAGAAGAAAAUAGUGAAUCUCUCGACCGUCAAAAUUUUUCUUCGAAGACAAUUCCCAUAAAACUUUGUACAAAUUAUAAAGAAGAAAAUAGUGCGACGAUUGUAAUAAUGAUUACGAGAAUUUAGAAAGAAAGAGAAUUAUUAUUUAAAAAAUUUUGUUCAUAAUCAAGAAAAAUACCAACAAAAGUGAUCGAUCUAUUUGUUUAAAAGAAUCUGAUUUAUCGAACGGAAGAUUGGAUUAUCGGAAACUGGUUG